rnacentral:rRNA from 1 species
UACGUAGGGUGCGAGCGUUAAUCGGAAUUACUGGGCGUAAAGCGUGCGCAGGCGGUUUUGUAAGUCAGGUGUGAAAUCCCCGGGCUUAACCUGGGAACUGCAUUUGUGACUGCAUAGCUAGAGUACGGUAGAGGGGGAUGGAAUUCCGCGUGUAGCAGUGAAAUGCGUAGAUAUGCGGAGGAACACCGAUGGCGAAGGCAGUCCCCUGGGCCUGUACUGACGCUCAUGCACGAAAGCGUGGGGAGCAAACAGG